AAUAAAUAAAUAAAUAAAUAAAAACAGGGUGCAAAAGGUGGUUGUAAUAAAUAAACCAACACAGAAACACAAACUUUUGCUUCUCUAUACUGAUGUAUGACAAUUACAAUAACAAUAAAUUGAUAGAAUUUUUGUUCUUUUCUUCUUUUGAAAAUUGUUUCUAAAUGAUGUUUUGCGUGGAACUUCAUCUUCCUUGUUUGAGCUGAAUAAUUAUUAGUUCAUUCACAAUUCAACGUAAGAAUCCGCUUAAUCGCAGGAAAACAGAUCAGUAUAAGCCAGUAGCUAAUUCUGGCCCAGUGCACAAAUUCUCUUAUUGAUGGCUGAAAGAAACUAAAGGACAUCAUGUAUAUGAAUUUUGCUCUAACACAUGUAAGGGACCCAGCAAAUGUGAGAAAGUGUCAAAUGAGACCAAAAUGUAUCUUUUGCCCCACAUGCAAAAUGCUAUGCUACUUCUGGCACCUCUGGAAACUGAAACAGAUCCCUCUUUCCCAGCACCUCCUGAUUCAGGGCCACAAUUGAGAUGCUGAGACAAUGAAAUGACACACAAGAAAUAAAACGUUUGCAGCCCUCUGACCACGAUACCCAAUUUUAAGAAGUAUCUUUUCAAAGCUUAAAGUUUACAUGGUUUUAUAUUGUUGUGUUUAUAAAGUAACUGUGUUUUAUCCUCUGUGGAGUUUUAUGAAUUUCAACAAAAUCUUAUUACAACUAGAGUUUCAUGUUGUUAUACUGAAUAUAAUUAUUUAUUCUAUUGAUAGAACCUUUUCCUAUACAUUGAUUUAUUGUAUUACUGAUUUUUUUUUUCUAUUUUAUGCUAUGUGUGGUAGAAAACUAACACAGUACAAAUCUUGAAUAAAUCAGUUCCAACGUACAACAUGGUAGUGGCAGAAUCAUGCUGUGGGAUGCUUUUUAUUCAGAAGGGGGAGGGAAGCCAGAGUUGGGCUGAACAGGUACCUUGGUUUUAUAUUUUUACUUAGAAAUCAAUGUAUCCUUUUCCUUCACCUCCUCAAUUAUCGACUUUGCGUUGGUCCGUUACAUAAAACCCCAUUAAAAUGUAGAUUGUGGAUGUAAUGUGACCAAAUGUGGAAAUGGUAAAAAGUUGUGAAUGUUAUUGUUGUCAAAUAAAACAUAAAAGAAAAAAAA